rnacentral:tRNA from 1 species
GGGGAUACAGCUCAGUUGGUAGAGUAUUUGUCUAACAUGCACAAGGUCCUGGGUUCAAUCUCCAGCACCACCA